rnacentral:rRNA from 1 species
CAUGGAGAGCUUGCUCUCUGAUGGCGAGUGGCGAACGGGUGAGGAACACGUAAGAAUCUGCCCCUCGGUCGGGGACAACUCUUGGAAACGAGAGCUAAUACCCGAUACACUGUGGAGUGAAAGAAUUUCGCCGAGGGAUGAUCUUGCGUCUGAUUAGCUAGUUGGUGUGGUAACUGCACACCAAGGCGACGAUCAGUAGCUGGUCUGAGAGGAUGGACAGCCACAUUGGAACUGAGACACGGUCCAAACUCC